rnacentral:rRNA from 1 species
GUAGGGUGCGAGCGUUAAUCGGAAUUACUGGGCGUAAAGCGUGCGCAGGCGGUUAUGUAAGACAGAUGUGAAAUCCCCGGGCUCAACCUGGGAACUGCAUUAGUGACUGCAUAGCUGGAGUGCGGCAGAGGGGGAUGGAAUUCCGCGUGUAGCAGUGAAAUGCGUAGAUAUGCGGAGGAACACCGAUGGCGAAGGCAAUCCCCUGGGCCUGUACUGACGCUCAUGCACGAAAGCGUGGGGAGCAAACAGGAUUAGAUACCCUGGUAGUCCACGCCCUAAACGAUGUCAACUGGUUGUUGGGUCUUCACUGACUCAGUAACGAAGCUAACGCGUGAAGUUGACCGCCUGGGGAGUACGGCCGCAAGGUUG